CACGACUACAUUAGAUACCCCGGUAGUCCCAGCCCUAAACGAUGCGCGUUAGGUGUAUCGGUGACCACGAGUCACCGAGGUGCCGAAGGGAAACCGUGAAACGUGCCGCCUGGGAAGUACGGUCGCAAGGCUGAAACUUAAAGGAAUUGGCGGGGGAGCACCACGACGGGUGGAGCCUGCGGUUUAAUUGGACUCAACGCCGGGAAGCUCACCGGAUAAGGCAGCGGAAUGAUUGCCGGGCUGAAGACCCUGCAUGACCAGCUG
rnacentral:rRNA from 1 species